CUCAUUCAACUCACGGUUUAUUGAAAAUGGUUUCUUUCUCAUCCUUUCUCUCUUUCACUCUUUCUCUCUCUAUGGAUAUGUUUUCUUCUUUAUUUUCUUCUUCCUCUCUCUCAUCUUCUCUUCUUCCUCUUCGUCUACUACAGAAAAAUUUCAAAUAUCCCACCACCUAAUAAUGAUGCCAACAUCUCAGAAAAUCGCUGAUGGCCUCUAAUUCAUAGAUGUUAUGUUUUUCUAUUGUUCUAUCGUUGAUGUAAGGUCAAAUUUUUUAUCAUCAAAUUCACGGCUCCUUAUGUUGCUACUACAGAUAAGAAGGAGAGUAUGAGAAGGAUUUCAUUGGUGGAACGUCUAUUGCGGAUGAUAACAAACAUGAAGUACCACCCAAAAGACCGACAAACAUGAAAUUUAUUUAUUAAUUUAAUAGAUUACUUAUUCCUACAUGCACUUCAUUUUCCCAAAAUGCACUUCAUGCUAACGAAAUACAUUCAAAAUAAAGAAAUUAUUCUAGAUCAAUGCAUUGAAUAAAUAUAAUAUUCUUUAGAAAAAUUAAUUAUUUAUGUAUUUAAUGCAUUAAAUACAUAUAUUUUAGGUAAAAAAUUUAUCUUUUUAAUCUAUUAAACAAUGUUCUACUUACCUUUUUAAUCUCAUAACCAGUGCCCUGGGGCACUCGUUAGCAUUACCCUUUUUAUAAUGGGAUGACCGGGGCACUCGUUAUCAUUACCCUUUUUAUAAUGGGAUGAUUUUUAAUAGGCUAUUCAUU